rnacentral:rRNA from 1 species
UACGAAGGGGGCUAGCGUUGUUCGGAAUCACUGGGCGUAAAGGGCGCGUAGGCGGCUUUAUAAGUCGGGGGUGAAAGCCUGUGGCUCAACCACAGAAUUGCCUUCGAUACUGUAGAGCUUGAGACCGGAAGAGGUAAGUGGAACUGCGAGUGUAGAGGUGAAAUUCGUAGAUAUUCGCAAGAACACCAGUGGCGAAGGCGGCUUACUGGUCCGGUUCUGACGCUGAGACGCGAAAGCGUGGGGAGCGAACAGG